ACUACUUACCAAGAGGAAGGAGUCAGCCACAUUUCACCAAACAUCAUUACAGAGUAGAGUUUGCCGAGCAAAGUCCAGAAGCUGAUGAGAACCAAUAGCAAACACCUUACCAAUUCCUUGGUGCUUCUCUCUUCCUUGAUCCAGGAAUAUGUCUCUCCUUUGGACCUUGGCUGUGUCCAUCACCAUCUCAGUCUUAAAAAAGAGUGUUGGACAGACAGUGAAGCAAAUGGAAGGUACUGUGACUGUCACUGCAGGAGACCGCAUCGCUCUCAAAUGUGCCUAUGAAUCUUCUUUCAUAGUCUAUCCAUUGUGGUAUGUUCAGCGCUCCAGUCAGCCUCCAAUGCCCUUUCUGAGUCAGAUUGGACAAGAUACCACCUCUGGUGCGGGGCUCAGUCAAGGAUUUCAUGCCAAGCACAAUAAACAGGAGACGACCUUCAACCUGGAGAGAUCUGCCAGCCAACUGAAUGACUCUGCUGUCUAUUUCUGUGCUAUGAGCGACACAGUGAGGUGAGACAGUAGAGAGGCAGGGCAAAAACUUACAAGGGGGAAUCAGCAGCCGAUCUGCAGGAGGACUCGCCAUCUUUGCAUGGACUUUGGAUGCAGUCCUUACAAAUGCACACAUACCUGGGAGUAAGGCAGUUGAAAUCUGUUGGAUGUACUUCCUUCUUUGGACUGGGCUACAGCCAUUUUGCUGCUAAUUGGGAUAUUUGCUUGCAGCAGAUCUGAAAGAAGAUUGGCGAAAAAGAUGGUGACGAUCAUAGGGCUGUAGUCAACUAAGUCCUACUCACAGUUGACCUAUUGAAAUGAAUGAAGUUUAGCCAUGCCCAUUAACUUCAGUGGGUCCAUUCUGAGUAGGAAUAGUGGUGAUGAAGACCACCCAAUGUACCAAAAUGUCAGAAAGCAAGAAAGUAUUAAGAAGUCCCUCCCCCAUAAAGACACCUCAAGAAUAGGCACCAAAAUAGUGUGUUCUGGGGAACCUGUGACCUUCUUGCUGGACUACAACCCCCAUCAUUCUUGACCGUUGGCUAUGAUGUUUGAGGGUGAUGGGAGAUGGAGUCCUACAACAUCUGGAAGGCCAGAGGAUCCCGACCCCGCCUUGCAAUGCAGUCCUAACCAAGUCUGGGCUGCUGCUGGGAGGAAGGGUGGGAUGUAAAUCACAUAAUAAAUAAAUAAAUAAGACUACUCAGAUGUAGCUCCCAGUUAAUUCAGUGGGGCUUACUCCCACAUUAAGUGAGAUGAGGACUGGAGUCAUAGUUGAUGCACCCAUUACUGAUUGUUUAUAUAUUUAAUUUAUUUA